CAGUAAGUAUCUACCUUCAUCAUCAUCUGCUAGAUGUAACUACUACUUGUCUAUAAAAAAGACCUAUCUCCCUCUUCUGAAUUCACAUUACAAUUUUUACGCUUCAUCAUCAUCAUCACAAAGAAGACCUAUUAUCUCAGGCACUUUUGUAAUAUUUAUCUGUCAAUUUUCAUCACUUAUUGUUCACCUUUGCUUCCAGUUCAAGAUUUUCGAUCAAGGAUUGAAGCAAUUUCUUGUAUAUUCAUUCAAGAUUUUACCCGGCCAGGCCAGUUUUCGGUUCCUGAACCAAAAUCAUUUCUUCUUGAAAGUCUAUCAUUCAAGAUUUUAUUACUAGAUCUGGAACAAAUCUUCUCAAAAAUCCACUAUCACCAAAGCUGGGGACAGGAAAAUAAGGAACACCAAGUUCAGAUGUUCUCGGAUUAAUUGGAGUAGUUUUGUUAGAAAUUGUCUUGAUAAUUAUUGGUAUGAGCGGAGUCGGAAAACGCAGAGCUUUCUUGUUGGCAUAUCGGUUACACACAUAACUUAACUGGCAACCAAUUCUAUGAAGCCUAAUAACGAAAAAAGAAGAGAAUUCAUCUAUGUUAUUAAUCCUCAUGUAAUAUCUGUAUGAGCGGACUCAGAAAAUUAAGCUAAUGGUUACUCUUUCUGAGUCAAAAUAUGUAUACAUUUUACAGUUUUACUUUUCUCACAUUUUACUGGCACAAUUUGUAAACUAGAUUGGCCAAAAAAAAGAAGUACUGGCUUGGACGUGAUAACCAACUACACCACGAAACCUUUGUUGUUAAUGAUGUCCAAUUUUAAAACCCAUUCUUUUUAUGCUUUC